CUCGUAUAGAACCUACCUUUUACUGGAGAAUAGCCCAGAGAAAUUUGGAUUAAUGCUCCAUAGUAUCAUUUUUUGGCAUCAUUAGAUGAUUAAAGAUUUAUCGGUAAAAGAUGGCUAUGCGUUCUAUUAGCUAGUUGGUAUGGUAACGGCAUACCAAGGCGACGAUAGAUAGGGGUCCUGAGAGGGAGAUCCCCCACACUGGUACUGAGACACGGACCAGACUCCUACGGGAGGCAGCAGUGAGGAAUAUUGGACAAUGGAGGCAACUCUGAUCCAGCCAUGCCGCGUGUAGGAAGACUGCCCUAUGGGUUGUAAACUACUUUUAUAGAGGAAGAAACCGCUCUACGUGUAGAGCUCUGACGGUACUCUACGAAUAAGGAUCGGCUAACUCCGUGCCAGCAGCCGCGGUAAUACGGAGGAUCCAAGCGUUAUCCGGAAUCAUUGGGUUUAAAGGGUCCGUAGCGGGUUUGUAAGUCAGUGG
rnacentral:rRNA from 1 species